rnacentral:rRNA from 1 species
CGACGGGUGAGUAACGCGUAUCCAACCUGCCGUCUACUCUUGGACAGCCUUCUGAAAGGAAGAUUAAUACAAGAUGGCAUCAUGAGUCCGCAUGUUCACAUGAUUAAAGGUAUUCCGGUAGACGAUGGGGAUGCGUUCCAUUAGAUAGUAGGCGGGGUAACGGCCCACCUAGUCUUCGAUGGAUAGGGGUUCUGAGAGGAAGGUCCCCCACAUUGGAACUGAGACACGGUCCAA